UACAGAGGUCCCAAGCGUUGUUCGGAUUCACUGGGCGUAAAGGGUGCGUAGGUGGUCGGGUAAGUCUGCUGUGAAAUCCCGCAGCUCAACUGCGGAACUGCAUUGGAAACUAUCCGACUAGAGGAAUGGAGGGGAGACUGGAAUUCUCGGUGUAGCAGUGAAAUGCGUAGAUAUCAGGAGGAACACCGGUGGUGUAGACGGCUUUCUGGACCGUAACUGACGCUGAGACACGAAAGCGUGGGGAGCAAACAGG
rnacentral:rRNA from 1 species